UCACCAAGGGCGACUGUUACAUGAAAGCCAGGCUAAUGACCUUGCUAGAUUUUCAGAGAGGUGGUGCAUGGCCGUCGUCAGUUCGUACCGUAAGGCGUUCUCUUAAGUGAGAUAACGAACGAGACCCUCACUGAUAAUUGCUACUCCAUCCUCCGGGGUGGAGGCACAUUAUUGGGACCGCUGGCGCUAAGUCAGAGGAAGGAGAGGUCAACGGUAGGUCAGUAUGCCCCGAAUCUCUUGGGCUACACGCGCGCUACAAAGGGCGGGACAAUGGGCUCCGACGCCGAAAGGCGAAGGUAAUCUCGAAACCCGUCCAUAGUUCGGAUUGAGGGUUGUAACUCACCCUCAUGAAGCUGGAUUCCGUAGUAAUCGCGAAUCAACAACUCGCGGUGAAUAUGCCCCUGCUCCUUGCACACACCGCCCGUCAAACCAUCCGAGUUGGGUUUCAGUGAGGUUGCCUCUAAUUAGGGUAUUCGAACUGAGAUUUAGCAAGGAAGGUUAAGUCGUAACAAGGUAUCU
rnacentral:rRNA from 1 species